GAUGUAACACAAUCAAGAAAUUCAACAAAAUAUUUAGCAAAAAACAGUUAUAAAGCUUGAAAGUUUCAUCGACACUCAUUCUCUUCUUAAUAUAAUGCGCUUCAUUGAGAUAACAACAAUCAAUACACAAAGUCACAAUCACAUGUAAAUGAUUGGCAGAAAAUGAAAACCAAAUUGAAAGGGAAAACCUGAGCAAUGGGAGCUUUGGAAGAGGAAAACUGAAAAUUGUGGAGAUCGUUUUGGAGUAAUUCGAGCUCGGAAUCUUCUUGAUCAGAGAAAUGAUAAUCAUCGUCAUUGUCGCUGUAACCGUAAUCUUCCAUUUCCUUGACCAGAAUUUAGAGAAAGUGUAGAAAGAGAGAAGAAAGAUCGUAGAAAGAAUACAAGUGUUUUUAUCAACCAAGACUCGAAAGGAAAAGCUAAAAGAUUUGAAGUGUGGAUUUUUGCUUUUGCUUUAUUACGUAUUCAUAUAUACCAAACACAAGUGUGAGGUAAGCCUCACCAUGCACAUG
rnacentral:lncRNA from 1 species